UCUAAAACUACAUAAAAUAAUUUAAAAGUUAUUUACAAAAUAUUAAUUGGGCAGUGCCAGGGAACUAUGCAAUUUUACACCCGAGAAUACAAAUACUAUACGCUCUACGAGGUAUUCUCACUAACCCCUUAAGACCCUAAUAUUAAUAAAAUGAAAUAUGUACAUGCUUACCUAGUCCUUAUUAAGACACUGACAAAUUAAAUUAAUUAAAUUAAAAAAUUAUCCAUCAGUAAAAUAUGUUUACUAAACAUAGACGUCUCAUGACAAAUUAACGCCCGGGGAUAAAUCCCCCACCUUCCUAGUUUUGGCAACGAUUAAUUCAAGGAUACAAAACAUACAUACCCAAAAAUUAUGAAUUUAUUUUAACAGUAAUACUCAAUGUUGGACAGGGGCUCUCCUAGGAGUUAGCAUGUUUCUAUAACUGUCGAAGAUGUAGCAAAGUAAUGAACAAAUGUUUCAUGGUAAUACAAACUUAUAUUUAAAAUUUAUUGUAGUAUGUUUGACAUUUUUUCAUUUAUUAGUGAACGUUUUGAUAAU